GUAGGGAGUGCUGUUGGAAGUGGAGAACUGUAGACCUCAGCAAGGCCCCAGAGUCAAGGCAGCUCUGCCCGAGUGAUGGAGGGUAGAAGCAGAGGACACUGGCCAUGGGACUUCAAGAGACAAUAAGAAGCAGGCAGUGGUGAUAAUUUUUAAAAUUAUUCAUCAAUAAUACAUUUAGGUUUGCAGCCCACAUCAAGAACAAGCUUCUGUAAUUUUUUUUUUCCUGUAGUUGUUCCCAGAAAAGAGUAAAGCGAUUUUUCUCUCUGAAACAAAACAAAACAAAACAAAGAGUGCUACUUUGCAGGUCAAGGUCCUGAAUUCAGCAACAUUUGAAUACCAUCAACCAUAGAAGAAAAUGCAAUGGAAAGAAAGAGAGGGAGGAAGGAAGGAAUGGAGGAGGGGAGAGAAAGAGGAGAAAACAGCUAAAAUCAACCAUCAGUUGGCACCUUUCAGAGCGGCCUUCCAGCUUCCAGAAAACUCUUUUGCAUUCGGAGCACUUUCCUACAGGACUAAUCAGAGUGCCCAACCCGGUGCCUGCUUGUUACAUGAACGAACACACCUGUGAAACCAGCGAGGGCAGGCUCACAAAGCCUACCGCCCUGCAUUUGAGGGCUAUUACACCCACAGACGUAGUGUCAGCGUUGGAUUUCUUGGUUGCUACCACGUACGUACUGCAUUUGAGAAAUCAUUUAGAAGUGUGACUGCAAGAUAAAAUGUCAAUCUGACUCUGGGUUAACUGGUGUUUCUAAUUAAGCCGUGAUGUACAGUGCUUACAGCAAAAUACAGUAUGACUCCGGCGAUAAGUCAGCAAAUAGUCUGUUGCCUCCAUUAUCUCAUUCCCUGGCGUUUCCCUGAUGAGUUUAUAAAUCCCUGCGGAAUCACGGCCCCGAUCUCUUUAAUGAGGGCUUUAAAAACCAGUGGGGGCGGGAGGGAGCAUGGCAGCAGAUAAGAUCGCCUUUACUGUAUCUCUGCCUCGUAGAGCUUUCUCCCUACCUCCUGCAGCAAAGCAAAUACCAUUUGAUAGACCUCAGAGUCGAAUAAUUUCAUGUGUAUUGGCAGGGGCACGCGAUUAUGUUAAUUACUCGCACAGCCUAAGAACAUCCUGUCUUCCUUGAUCUGGUGGGAACAGAAAUGGGAACACUACUUUGUUCCAGUUAGGAGUGGGUGGCGUGGGAGAGCUUGGCUCCUGCAGCCCUGAACUCAGGGACAAUAAGCCUCUCCUGUCCAGUGUUUACUAAGUCCCUCCAAUGUGGUGAUUGCGCUGGCCCCUAGAGGCACCAUUUCUUCCUUGCUUUGUGACCUAAACACCUGUGGAUGUCACAG
rnacentral:lncRNA from 1 species